rnacentral:tRNA from 1 species
GCCUGGGUGGCUCAGACGGCUGAGUGUCUGACUUCAGCUCAGGUCAUGAUCUCACAGUUCGUGGGUUCAAGUACCAUAUCGGGCU